rnacentral:rRNA from 1 species
GACGAACGCUGGCGGCGUGCUUAACACGUGCAAGUCGAACGAUGAACCCGGAGCUUGCUCUGGGGGAUUAGUGGCGAACGGGUGAGUAACACGUGAGUAACCUGCCCUGGACUCUGGGAUAAGCGUUGGAAACGACGUCUAAUACCGGAUAGGACCUUGGAUCGCAUGAUCUGGGGUGGAAAGUUUUUUCGGUCUGGGAUGGACUCGCGGCCUAUCAGCUUGUUGGUGAGGUAAUGGCUCACCAAGGCGUCGACGGGUAGCCGGCCUGAGAGGGUGACCGGCCACACUGGGACUGAGACACGGCCCAGACUCCUACGGGAGGCAGCAGUGGGGAAUAUUGCACAAUGGGCGAAAGCCUGAUGCAGCAACGCCGCGUGCGGGAUGACGGCCUUCGGGUUGUAAACCGCUUUUAGUAGGGAAGAAGGGCUUCGGCUUGACGGUACCUGCAGAAAAAGGACCGGCUAACUACGUG